UACGGAGGAUCCAAGCGUUAUCCGGAAUCAUUGGGUUAAAGGGUCCGUAGGCGGUUUUGUAAGUCAGUGGUGAAAUCUGGUCGCUCAACGAUCAAACGGCCAUUGAUACUGCAAGACUUGAAUUACUGGGAAGUAACUAGAAUAUGUAGUGUAGCGGUGAAAUGCUUAGAUAUUACAUGGAAUACCAAUUGCGAAGGCAGGUUACUACCAGUGGAUUGACGCUGAUGGACGAAAGCGUGGGGAGCGAACAGG
rnacentral:rRNA from 1 species